rnacentral:lncRNA from 1 species
AGAGAGAGAGAGAGAAUUCAACUAAAUUUUAGCCCAAACUUAUUACUAUUGGUAUUUCAAAGCAAUACAACUAGUAUUUCAAAACACUUCAAUGAACACAUUUUAACCUUUACUUGAUGUUGUGAGCAGGAAGGCAAUUUCAUUGGGUGAGACCUGGAUGACCAGCUGAUGGGAAAUUCAAAUUGUUGGUCUGGCACCACAGCUAAAGC